UACGUAGGCAGCGAGCGUUGUUCGGAGUUACUGGGCGUAAAGGGUGUGUAGGCGGUUGUUUAAGUUUGGUGUGAAAUCUCCCGGCUCAACUGGGAGGGUGCGCCGAAUACUGAAUGACUCGAGUGUGGGAGAGGUGAGUGGAAUUCCUGGUGUAGCGGUGAAAUGCGUAGAUAUCAGGAGGAACACCGGUGGUGUAGACGGCUCACUGGACCAUAACUGACGCUGAGGCGCGAAAGCUAGGGGAGCAAACAGG
rnacentral:rRNA from 1 species